rnacentral:rRNA from 1 species
GUUUGAUCCCUGGCUCAGAAACGAACGCUGGCGGCAGGCCUAACACAUGCAAGUCGAGCGCACCCUUCGGGGUGAGCGGGCGGACGGGUGAGUAACGCGGUGGGAAUAUGCCCUUUGGUACGGAAUAGUCCUGGGAAACUGGGGGUAAUACCGUAUGCGCCCUCCGGGGGAAAGAUUUAUCGCCAAAGGAUUAGCCCGCGUUGGAUUAGGUAGUUGGUGGGGUAAUGGCCUACCAAGCCGACGAUCCAUAGCUGGUUUGAGAGGAUGAUCAGCCACACUGGGACUGAGACACGGCCCAGACUCCUACGGGAGGCAGCAGUGGGGAAUCUUAGACAAUGGGGGCAACCCUGAUCUAGCCAUGCCGCGUGAGUGAUGAAGGCCCUAGGGUUGAUAAGAGCUACUUCAGCUGGGAAGAUAAUGACGG